rnacentral:rRNA from 1 species
UUGUCGGGUAAGUUCCGACCUGCACGAAUGGCGUAAUGAUGGCCAGGCUGUCUCCACCCGAGACUCAGUGAAAUUGAACUCGCUGUGAAGAUGCAGUGUACCCGCGGCAAGACGGAAAGACCCCGUGAACCUUUACUAUAGCUUGACACUGAACAUUGAGCCUUGAUGUGUAGGAUCGGUGGGAGGCUUUGAAGCGAGGACGCCAGUUCUUGUGGAGCCAACCUUGAAAUACCAC